rnacentral:tRNA from 1 species
GGGGCUGUAGCUCAGUUGGGAGAGCACCUCGUUCGCAACGAGGGGGUCGGGAGUUCGAUUCUCCCCAGCUCCACCA